GCCGAUGUAGCUCAGAUGGUAGAGCAACUCCAUGGUAAGGAGUAGGUCGCCGGUUCAAUUCCGGCCAUCGGCU
rnacentral:tRNA from 1 species